rnacentral:sRNA from 1 species
GCCAGGUGUGGUGGCACAGGCCUGUAAUUCCAGCAACUUGGGAGGCUGAGUCAGGAUGAUUGCAAGUUCAAAGGCAGCCUUAGCAACUUAGCAAAACCCUGUCUCGAU